UACGGAGGGUGCAAGCGUUAUCCGGAUUCACUGGGUUUAAAGGGUGCGUAGGUGGGUCGGUAAGUCCGUGGUGAAAUCUCCGAGCUUAACUCGGAAACUGCCGUGGAUACUAUCGAUCUUGAAUACUGUGGAGGUAAGCGGAAUAUGUCAUGUAGCGGUGAAAUGCUUAGAUAUGACAUAGAACACCGAUAGCGAAGGCAGCUUGCUACACAGUUAUUGACACUGAGGCACGAAAGCGUGGGGAGCAAACAGG
rnacentral:rRNA from 1 species